GUCACCGACUCAUGUGUGACACUCUUCUUUUCAUCUCAUUGCAUCUCUUCUCAUCAAAUUAUCGCGUCUCUUGAAGUGAUAUUUUUUUUUUUUUUUUUUUGGGCUCCUCACUAUAGCUAUAGUGAGAUAUAACUGAGUUUCUAGUUUCUACUGUUCUUCUCGUAACAGUGAUCAUGCAUUCUUAAUAUUUCUAAGUUUAUUGAGAUAUCUAAUCAAUCAAUAAGACAUAAAACUUAAAUAUAAGCAUCUAUACAUUCGCAUGAAACGUGAACUUUUCAACGUUUGAUAAAAAAAAAUCAUUACCUCUUU
rnacentral:lncRNA from 1 species